ensembl:snRNA U6 U6 spliceosomal RNA
AUGUUCACAUCAGCAGCACAUGUACUAAAAUUGGAACGACGAAGAGAAGACCAGUAUGGCUCCUAUGCAAGGAUGACAUGCAAAUUCGUUUGGUGUUCCAUAUUAAA